UACGUAGGGGGCAAGCGUUGUCCGGAUUUAUUGGGCGUAAAGAGCGUGUAGGCGGCCAGGUAGGUCCGCUGUGAAAACUCGAGGCUCAACCUCGAGAUGUCGGCGGAAACCAUCUGGCUAGAGUCCGGAAGAGGAGAGUGGAAUUCCUGGUGUGGCGGUGAAAUGCGCAGAUAUCAGGAAGAACACCCGUGGCGAAGGCGGCUCUCUGGGACGGUACUGACGCUGAGACGCGAAAGCGUGGGGAGCGAACAGG
rnacentral:rRNA from 1 species